rnacentral:misc_RNA from 1 species
AACGCACCUUGCACCUCUUGGUAUUCCGAAAGGUAUGCCUGUUUGAGUGUCAUGAAAUAUCAACCAUUAGGGUUUCCUAAUUGGCUUGGACUUGGGUGUUUGCCAUCUGGCUCACCUUAAUUGCGUUAGUGGAUGACCCAUUAGCUUGACGUGAUAAGUUUCGUCACUCGAUUGGUCAGCAUCUGCUCACAACACCAAUAUUUCUUAAUCUCUGACCUCAAAUCAGGUAGGACUACCCGCUGAACUUAA